rnacentral:rRNA from 1 species
GUACAGGAAGCAGCUUGCUGCUUCGCUGACGAGUGGCGGACGGGUGAGUAAUGUCUGGGAAACUGCCUGAUGGAGGGGGAUAACUACUGGAAACGGUAGCUAAUACCGCAUAACGUCGCAAGACCAAAGAGGGGGACCUUCGGGCCUCUUGCCAUCGGAUGUGCCCAGAUGGGAUUAGCUAGUAGGUGGGGUAACGGCUCACCUAGGCGACGAUCCCUAGCUGGUCUGAGAGGAUGACCAGCCACACUGGAACUGAGACACGGUCCAGACUCCUACGGGAGGCAGCAGUGGGGAAUAUUGCACAAUGGGCGCAAGCCUGAUGCAGCCAUGCCGCGUGUAUGAAGAAGGCCUUCGGGUUGUAAAGUACUUUCAGCGGGGAGGAAGGGAGUAAAGUUAAUACCUUUGCUCAUUGACGUUACCCGCAGAAGAAGCACCGGCUAACUCCGUGCCAGCAGCCGCGGUAAUACGGAGGGUGCAAGCGUUAAUCGGAAUUACUGGGCGUAAAGCGCACGCAGGCGGUUUGUUAAGUCAGAUGUGAAAUCCCCGGGCUCAACCUGGGAACUGCAUCUGAUACUGGCAAGCUUGAGUCUCGUAGAGGGGGGUAGAAUUCCAUGUGUA